AUUCAAUUCAAACGCUAACACUAACAGCAGACAUCUCACGGUUCUGGACUUGGACUAUUUUUUAUUUCGAAAAGUUUCUGCAAGACUGGCAGCGUCAUGACCAGUGCUUUGUCUUCUGCUGCAUUCCCUGGAACAUUCUCUCUCAGCACCAAAUGAACAACUUGCUUGCACCAGGGACAGAAACUCCUCUCUGCCCAUCUAGGGGGACAUCAUGGCAGUGCAGAAUUUUUGCUGUGUGUGUUGAAACAGGACACCCAAAGACUAGGAGCAGCACCUGGCCUAUGAAGGUUCCUGGCUCUUGCUCAAAGCAGCCCAAGUGGAAGCCAAACCCAGUGGGCCCUCUUUCAAAGACGCACAGGCGUGGACAGGCCGCCCACCUGAGUGAAGAAGUUCCUUCCCUGAGCAUGGAUGACGGUGAGGGUGACCUGUUGCCCACUCUGCCGGAUUCUGUGGACGAUGUCAUCGUGCUCCAUGCUCUCCACCACCUCCCCGUUCACGGCCAAUAGCGCGUCCCCAUCCUGCAUCCCCACCAGCUCCGCCGGGCUGCCGGAGUCUAUUUCACGCAGCCUGUGGUCUGGACACGCAGGCAGCGUGAAGCCAUACCCGUCAGGCCCCUGCUGCAGGUGGAGCCUCAGGGGGCAGUGCGGCAGGUUGUGGGCUCCAGCCAUGGCUGGC